rnacentral:sRNA from 1 species
CUUUUGCUAUCAGCCUGUCUGUCCGUUUCUAUUUCAUCCCCUCCCUGCCUAUCUCAGGCUCUUCCCAUCUCUGCAUUAUUUCUGUCUCUUUCUGUUUCUUUCUAGUUACCUGUCUCUUUUCCUCUCUCUCUUUCUCCCUGUGUCUCACUGCCUGCCUCUAUGUCUAAGUCUCUCUGCCCCUUCUCUCUUUCUCUCCCCCAACCCCCAUCAUCUCUCUUUCUCUCAGGGUCUUUGUUUCUCUCCCACUAGAGGCCUGGUCCCCAUAAAUAGGUGUUGUGGGGGGAGGGUUGGGCAGAGCCGCUACUGAAAGACAUUUUCCUGGCAUGGAGGCCCUUUGGUGGGGAGGUCAGUUUAACCCGGUGACAGCAGCUUUUCCGUCCUCUCCCACCCAGGCUCCAGGAGGCCAGAGCUCUACUGAAGCGGCGGCGGGCCCGGGGCCCCCUGCCAAGAUGUGGAUGAGUGUGCCCGAAGCCCCCCACCCUGCACCUACGGCCGGUGUGAGAACACAGAAGGCAGCUUCCAGUGUGUCUGCCCCAUGGGCUUUCAACCCAAUGCUGCUGGCUCCGAGUGCGAGGAUGUGGAUGAGUGUGAGAACCACCUCGCAUGCCCUGGGCAGGAGUGUGUGAACUCGCCCGGCUCCUUCCAGUGCAGGGCCUGUCCUUCUGGCCACCACCUGCACCGUGGCAGAUGCACUGAUGUGGACGAAUGCAGUUCGGGUGCCCCUCCCUGUGGUCCCCACGGCCACUGCACUAACACCGAAGGCUCCUUCCGCUGCAGCUGCGCGCCAGGCUACCGGGCGCCGUCGGGUCGG